UUUAUGCGAUACUGGUGUGAAUUGCAGAAUCCCGUGAACCAUCGAGUCUUUGAACGCAAGUUGCGCCCGAAGCCAAUAGGCCGAGGGCACGUCUGCCUGGGUGUCACACAUUUGCUUGCCCCCACCACUCACUCCUUGAUGAGAUGUGCUGGUUUUUGGGCGGAAAUUGGCCUCCCGUGCCUUGUUGUGCGGCUGGUGCAAAAGCGAGUCUCUGGCGGUGGACGUCGUGACAUCGGUGGUUGUAAAAUACCCUCUUGACUUGUCGCACGAAUCCGCGUCAUCUUAGUGAGCUCUAGGACCCUUGGGCGCUACACAAUCUGUUCGCCCUAACUGUGACCCCAGGUCAGGCGGGACUACCCGCUGAGUUUAAGCAUAUCAAUAAGCGGAGGAA
rnacentral:rRNA from 1 species